GAUGAACGCUGGCGGCGUGCCUAAUGCAUGCGAGUCGAGCGAACGGACGAGAAGCUUGCUUCUCUGAUGUUAGCGGCGGACGGGUGAGUAACACGUGGAUAACCUACCUAUAAGACUGGGAUAACUUCGGGAAACCGUAGCUAAUACCGGAUAAUAUUUUGAACCGCAUGGUUCAAAAGUGAAAGACGGUCUUGCUGUCACUUAUAGAUGGAUCCGCGCUGCAUUAGCUAGUUGGUAAGGUAACGGCUUACCAAGGCAACGAUGCAUAGCCGACCUGAGAGGGUGAUCGGCCACACUGGAACUGAGACACGGUCCAGACUCCUACGGGAGGCAGCAGUAGGGAAUCUUCCGCAAUGGGCGAAAGCCUGACGGAGCAACGCCGCGUGAGUGAUGAAGGUCUUCGGAUCGUAAAACUCUGUUAUUAGGGAAGAACAUAUGUGUAAGUAACUGUGCACAUCUUGACGGUACCUAAUCAGAAAGCCACGGCUAACUACGUG
rnacentral:rRNA from 1 species